CCUACGGGAGGCAGCAGUGAGGAAUAUUGGUCAAUGGGCGCGAGCCUGAACCAGCCAAGUAGCGUGAAGGAUGACUGCCCUACGGGUUGUAAACUUCUUUUAUAAAAGAAUAAAGUGAGGCACGUGUGCCUUUCUGUAUGUACCUUAUGAAUAAGGAUCGGCUAACUCCGUGCCAGCAGCCGCGGUAAUACGGAGGAUUCGAGCGUUAUCCGGAUUUAUUGGGUUUAAAGGGAGCGUAGAUGGGUUGUUAAGUUAGUUGUGAAAGUUUGAGGCUCAACCGUGGAAUUGCAAUUGAUACUGGCAGCCUUGAGUGCAGUUGCGGUAGGCGGAAUUCGUGGUGUAGCGGUGAAAUGCUUAGAUAUCACGAAGAACUCCGAUUGCGAAGGCAGCUUACUAAACUGCCACUGACGUUGAUGCUCGAAAGUGUGGGUAUCAAACAGGAUUAGAUACCCUUGUAGUC
rnacentral:rRNA from 1 species